CCAGCCGCGUUACUACCGUAGGUGGCGAAGCGUUAAUCCUGGAACUUAUUCGGGCGUAAAGAGCUCGUAGGCGGUUUGUCCGCGUCUGUCGUGAAAGUCCCGGGGCUUAACCCCGGGAUCUGCGGGUGGGUACGGGCAGACUAGAGUGCAGUAGGGGAGACUGGAAUUCCUGGUGUAGCGGUGGAAUGCGCAGAUAUCAGGAGGAACACCGAUGGCGAAGGCAGGUCUCUGGGCUGUAACUGACGCUGAGGAGCGAAAGCAUGGGGAGCGAACAGGAUUAGAUACCCUGGUAGUCCAUGCCGUAAACGUUGGGCACUAGGUGUGGGGACCAUUCCACGGUUUCCGCGCCGCAGCUAACGCAUUAAGUGCCCCGCCUGGGGAGUACGGCCGCAAGGCUAAAACUCAAAGGAAUUGACGGGGGCCCGCACAAGCGGCGGAGCAUGCGGAUUAAUUCGAUGCAACGCGAAGAACCUUACCAAGGCUUGACAUGUUCUCGAUCGCCGUAGAGAUACGGUUUCCCCUUUGGGGCGGGUUCACAGGUGGUGCAUGGUUGUCGUCAGCUCGUGUCGUGAGAUGUUGGGUUAAGUCCCGCAACGAGCGCAACCCUCGUUCCAUGUUGCCAGCACGUCGUGGUGGGGACUCAUGGGAGACUGCCGGGGUCAACUCGGAGGAAGGUGAGGACGACGUCAAAUCAUCAUGCCCCUUAUGUCUUGGGCUUCACGCAUGCUACAAUGGCCGGUACAAUGGGUUGCGAUACUGUGAGGUGGAGCUAAUCCCAAAAAGCCGGUCUCAGUUCGGAUUGGGGUCUGCAACUCGACCCCAUGAAGUCGGAGUCGCUAGUAAUCGCAGAUCAGCAACGGUGUCGAUUGGCGG
rnacentral:rRNA from 1 species